GACGAACGCUGGCGGCGUGCUUAACACAUGCAAGUCGAACGGAAAGGCCCUGCUUGCAGGGUACUCGAGUGGCGAACGGGUGAGUAACACGUGGGUGAUCUGCCCUGCACUUCGGGAUAAGCUUGGGAAACUGGGUCUAAUACCGGAUAGGAGCCAUCUUUAGUGUGGUGGUUGGAAAGUUUUUUCGGUGUAGGAUGAGCUCGCGGCCUAUCAGCUUGUUGGUGGGGUAAUGGCCUACCAAGGCGGCGACGGGUAGCCGGCCUGAGAGGGUGUACGGCCACAUUGGGACUGAGAUACGGCCCAGACUCCUACGGGAGGCAGCAGUGGGGAAUAUUGCACAAUGGGCGCAAGCCUGAUGCAGCGACGCCGCGUGGGGGAUGAAGGCCUUCGGGUUGUAAACUCCUUUCGCUAGGGACGAAGCUUUGUGUGACGGUACCUAGAUAAGAAGCACCGGCUAACUACGUGCCAGCCGCCGCGGUAAU
rnacentral:rRNA from 1 species